rnacentral:rRNA from 1 species
AUAUUAAUAAGCAAAGGAAGAAGAAUCAACUGAGAUUGCCUUAGUAAUGGCGAAUGAACCGGCAAAAGCUCAUUGCUGAAGCGUGUUAAAUUCACUUUUGACAUGCAUUGUAGCAUUUGGGGUGAACUACUGUAUGGUACCUAUUCGUGUGAGUUCCUUUGAUCAGGGCUUUAACCAUAGAAGGUGCUAGUCCUAUAAUCACGAAUAGUUUACU